AUGAAAAGCCAAAAUCUGAUUGAGCCUCGUAUCCACUCAAGUCCCAGAAACCGUAUUCGGGCAAUGGACAGAACAGGGAGACAUAACAGUAAGAAGACUCUGGAUCUGCCAAGCUUUCUCUGCUUGCUCAGUCGAGGUCACUGUGAGACAAGAAGACCUGGGUUCAAAUCUCUGUUAUGUCAUCAUGCUCUCCAAGCAGCUCUCUUGGCUACUGCACCAGAUAUUUGUGAAGAUCAAAAGAGGCAAAGUGAGUCUUCAGGGUGGAUAAUCUCUUGUGUGAUACAAACUGCAAUGAUCCCUUGGAGGAUGGGAACAAAAUUCAAAACGACCUUGAUAGGCUUGAGCCCAAGGCGGGAAACCAAGCAAUGACAUUUAACAGGGGUAAGUGCAGAGUUCUACACCUGGGAAGGGAAAAACACCAAAUGAGAGUUACAAGACGGGAGAGACUUGGCUUGGUAAUACUAUGAGUGAGAAGAAUCACAAGCUGAAUAUGAGCCAACAGUGUGAUGUGGCUGCAAAAGAGGCAGAUGCUAUUGUAGCCUGCAUAAUUAACUUGUAAACCGCCCAGAGAGUGCUUGAAGCACUAUGGGGCAGUAUAUAAGCAGCACGCUUUGCUUUGCUUUUGCUUUGUUAACAGAAACAGGGUCUCCAAAACCCACGAGGUAGUUGUUCCCCUCUAUUCAGUACUGGUUAGGCCUCUAUUCUAGAAUACAGUGUGUCAGAACUCACACCUAAAGACUUGCACUUGAAUGUUGGACUGGGGGACUUGCCAACAUCCCUGGAAGGAUGCUGCCUAGUUCAGUGUUUUGGGCCUCUGGCUACAGAGCAAGAAGUUGGUUGGGAGUUCGAUUCCCGCCACUGGCCCUCCUUGUCAGGGGCUGGACUGGAUGAUCCACAGGGUCCCUUUCCAGCUCUGCCGUUCUAAGACUACAGUAUUGUUAUUAUUAUUAUUAUUAUUACCACCUUUGGAUUCAAGCCAGUAUUGCUUAUAUCCAAUCCAAUCCAGUAUUUUGGAGACUUGAUCUAACACCCAUGACUCAAGAAUGGUUGAAGAGGUAAAAUUCAAGCCCCAUCUUUUGCACUUCCUAAGAAUUCUCUGGAGCAGCUUCAGUAAGGCUUACGCAAUAAAAGUUGACGGCUCGUUGGGUUUCA
rnacentral:lncRNA from 1 species